GACGAACGCUGGCGGCGUGCUUAACACAUGCAAGUCGAACGGAAAGGCCCUGCUUUUGUGGGGUGCUCGAGUGGCGAACGGGUGAGUAACACGUGAGUAACCUGCCCUUGACUUUGGGAUAACUUCAGGAAACUGGGGCUACUACCGGAUAGCAGCUCCUGCUGCAUGGUGGGGGUUGGAAAGUUUCGGCGGUCGCGGUUGGACUCGCGGGUUAUCAGCUUGUUGGUGGGGUAGUGGCUUACCCAGGAUUUGACGGGUACCCGGCCUGGGAGGGUGAACGGGGACAUGGGGACUAAGGGAGGGCGCAGACUCGUACAGGGGGCAGUAGUGGCGAAUAUGGUACAAUGGGCGGAAGCCUGAGGCAGCGACCCUGCGGGCGGGAUGACGGCCUGCGGGUUGAAAAACGCUUUCGCCUGUGACCAAGCGGGUGUGACGGUAAUGAGUAAAGAAGCACCGGCUAACUACGUG
rnacentral:rRNA from 1 species